UACAGAGACUGCAAGCGUUAUUCGGAUUCAUUGGGCGUAAAGCGCGCGUAGGCGGCUUUGUAAGUUAGAGGUGAAAGCCCGGAGCUCAACUCCGGAAUUGCCUUUAAGACUGCAUCGCUAGAAUCAUGGAGAGGUGAGUGGAAUUCCGAGUGUAGAGGUGAAAUUCGUAGAUAUUCGGAAGAACGCCAGUGGCGAAGGCGACUCACUGGACAUGUAUUGACGCUGAGGUGCGAAAGCGUGGGGAGCAAACAGG
rnacentral:rRNA from 1 species